UAAUAGGUGAGCGCCAGCCAAUGAGAUUGUCGUUUGCGCAUUAGUUCCGCCCACUAGCAGAGAACCCGGCAGUUCCCAAGGAAUUCCAACGGAACUCCGUUAUUUUGACAGGAAAAUAUAUCAAAGAAUAUCGUUUACAUGUAGCGCGUCAAUUCUGCAUGUUAUGAAAGACUCUCUUGCUCUGUAUCUUUCUUUGCGUGCGUGUAUGUGAGAGAAAGCGACGGCGAGUCGUGCGCCUUCACACUGUUUAUGGUACGUCAAAUACAGCUACACUGAGCAUCCAUUCAGAUGAACUGAAAAAUGUAAUUCUAAUAAUAUAGUAAUGCCACAUUGUAUUGUCAGUAACGGUAAGGGCGUUGGGGAAACAGUAAUCCGUUUGAUUACUCGUUACUGAAAAAAAAUAACGCCGUUAUUCCCAUUACUGUAUAGAAUACGGUUCGUUAUUUAUACGACAUAACGUCAGUAUUACGACUCAUAGGCUAUCUGCAAAUGUCCCGAAUGCACAUGUCAUGAACGUUUCUGCGCGGCUCUGAAUGAACUCCUUUUGUGGACUCGUUCUUCACGCAACAACGUGCAGAAACACAGCAAAUGUAAAAAUUCACAGCGUUUUAUAAUAAGUGUUCUCUUUGUAAUGUUAUGUAUAUGACAGUCCCAGUCAUAAUUAUUAAUAUUCUGCAUUGCUUCCUGCUUGCGCUGCGCGCUGACGAGAUAAUCACCAUAGUACUACAAUGAAGGCUUUACUGCAGCGUAACCCAAAUGCAUUUUAUGCCAGAUAAAUAAUAUAUACAAUAUAAACCAGCUGAAAUCUUUUGAAAUCACUUAUACCCUACCUGAACGAAAAAAAUCCAGUCUUUCACUCUGUCUUGUUACAGAUUUAAAUCCUUGCCGCCAAGAUGUUGGAUUAAGUGAAAUUUAAAUCUAUAGGGGUGGUUGGAUUUAUUCACACACAUUAAAAAUAUUUAUUAAAAGCUUCUUUCUUUUCAGAUUUUUAUUUACAACAUUAUCUUAAUAUGCUGUAUAUUAACUUAUUGGGAGAAAACUGGUAGUUCUAUGUGAAAUCAGACAUUGAGAACCCCCAAGUAGCCAAAAUGGCAUGAUCAUAACACCCAGUGAAUAUUCAACUGUGAGAUUGGUAGUCGAAUCGGGCUCCUCCUAUGGAAGCAUCGAAUCAUUGACUAUUCGGGGUCACCCCUAACAUGAUUUGACUGAUUUGGAUGUUAUGCAGUAAGGGCGACAGCACAAUGCAUUAAAGGAAAGGACCAUUCAUGUUUUUGUAAUCGUUGGCCAAAAUCAAAAAGAAAACUAAAAUGAAAUCAUCUUUGAAAGCAAGGGGGCCCCCUGGUGUUUCAGGGGCCCUAUGCAACAUGCGUACUUUGCUUAUAGAGAGGUUCGGCUCUGCUUUCUGGUAGAACAUUUUUUGCAAUUUGAUACCUUUUGCUUUCAAAGAUAGAGUACCCAAUGCCUAUUGAUUACUCAUUGCAUUUGCAAAUGUGACUGUAGCCGGCUUUGUUUGGCUAAGUGAACUGGUUGUCUGUUUGAUUGUUUAACAUUCAUGCCUACAUGCAAAUUAUCAGUUUGUGGCCUCCUCCAUUCCUGACAAUAGCAAAACUGCUACAUCAUUGUCCCAAAGUUGUGAGUAAUGGAUUUGUCAUAACCCACCAUGCCCGGCUUCAUUGCUUCUGCAGAGUGUGGGAGUAUAACACAGGCACAGCGGCGUGCAGCGCAUUGUGGCUGUGCAGGCGGCUGUCUGGCAGCAUGUUUGUCAGUGUGUCAAUGUACCGAUGGGAGAGAGAUGUCAGGGAAGGUCACUCCACACCCGGCUGUACCUGUGAGUGAUGGGCAGCACUCAGGACGGGUCACCGCGGGCCCAGCAAACAGGACGUCUCAGGUACUGGAGCACAGCGGCCCCACCGAGUCUAGUGAAACCACUUGACCUAAUUAGAGUGUCACACACGACUGAUGUGAACAGCAGUCACUGAAAGAGGUCGGAGAACUUCAUCAUUUAAGUAUGGGAUUGUGAAACUAAUUUGACAGCCCUGUCAGUCGGUUCCAUUAGGCCUGGUUUAUUCUUAGCACUCCGCGUGAGUGUGAGGAUGUCUGCGCAAAAGGUGAUGCCAGGUUGGAUGGGACUUUUUAUUUCUGGAACGCAUUUGAUUGGAAAUAAUUUCUCCAGCACAAUGGUAGUCAUUUAUUCUUCUGCAAAUUCAUAAUGUUGAUGCAAAUUUUGUCAAGGUUUAUCAUAUACAAUUGCAAUGAAAAUGAUUCAUAUUAAGCAUUAAUGUACAAAUGUAAGCUGUUUUGAGGAUCUUUUGAGAAGCUUUUCACAGCAGUUUAGAGGCAUAUUAAAAGUGAUAAUGUCAAUAUAUAGUGUCUAAUAUAUAAUGUUGCUAAUAUUUGUGAGUUACAGGAUUUUUUUUUUUUUUUUGUAAUACAGCUGUCAUAAUUAUUCAACUCCUAUUCAGUGCUGCUGUUUUUAAGUCACUCAUUUGUAUGAUAGGGCACCAAACAGUGUUAAAACACAAGUAACACUAUGAAAAAAAACCUAACUAGUUUGAGCUGUCAAUAUGGCUAAAAUAUUACACUAAGCAGCGUUUA